rnacentral:lncRNA from 1 species
UUUUUGGGUUUUUACCGGGUUAUUUUUAAUUAACGAAUUUUUCUUUAAAUCUGAACCGGAUAAUAUACAAUGUAUCGGGUCUAUAGGUUCAACCAUGAAUCUAGGUCGGAUAUGAAAACAAAUCUUAAAACUCAAACAUUAUUAUAGAACAACUACCAUAUUUUGAAAAGAAAAAAAAACAAAUGAUAAAAACCUAAAAACUCAAGUUCGAAACAAAAAUAAUGGUAGUGUGUAAAUCAGUUUUUAAUCAAAAAAUGAAAAAAAAACAAUCCUGCGCUUUUUAAGCGCGGGUCAAAAUCUAGUAAUCUUUAAAUUUUGAUAAAUCUUAUUUCAUUAACUAAGUAAGCCCUAAAGAAUUCACUAAUGCUC